rnacentral:lncRNA from 1 species
CUGGGUCAUCCUAUCUGUACUACUUAUUUUACUAGUACAACUUGGUGUGUGGCAUAUUAUAAUUAGAUCGGUAGCUUAGGCACUUUGUUUUGAUGAAAUAAAUACUGCAUGGUAUGACCAUAAUGGCAUCCAACGGGCAGUAACUUUAUAUUAUUGCUCUUGGAUCAGAGAUGCUCCUCUUAAUUUGCUUCAACUGAAAAUUCAUCUUUUUAUAAAUGAAAAUAUUUAAGCAUCCCAUAUCAACUUUUUUUUUUUUUAAGUGAUUUUAUGAGUUACCAUUGCAUUCGCUCUUCUGGAUAAUGGUCGUCUUUGUUCUUUACAUUUCAUCUCAAAAAUUCAAACCGCAGCAGAGCAUCCUAUGAGAUAUCAUAAUAAGAUGCUAUCCAAAUGUCAGGACAGAACCGUCCAACCAGCAGUAUAUCUGGUUCUAUAAGAAAGUCAGGAUAACUUCAUCUCAUAAAAUUUAAAAUUUUAUUUUAGAUAAAUUUUAUGCUAAAUCCGAUCACAACUAACAAUAAAGUGGACAUGAAGUCAUGGAAACAUAAAUAAAUUGCAGGGCUCUAAAAAAAAUACACUUGUCCUCUCCAUU